AACACACUACUCCUUGCAAUUAUGUAAGAAAUGCCACAUUACAUAAAUAGCCAUAUACAGUAUAAAUCUUUGAGUGGACUGAGGUGAAUACCUUUAGAUUAAGUACAUUAACUUCAUAUAUGUAGUUGUGUGGUCACAAUGGUUACUUGGAAACAUGUACGAAUAGUGCGACAUGAAUCAGAGUCAUAAUACAUAUCAGAACCAGUAGUUUAGUAUGGCAGCAUCCACGAACCAACAAUAAAGGCAAGUGGCAAAGUCUCAGUGAAAAACCUUGACCUGUCACUGAAAGCCAUUGUCAACAUCUAAAUGUCAGAACACAACUUUUAAAAGGAUUUGAAACUAGAAUGCAUUAGGAGAAUCAGUACAACAUAGACAAUUUAUAAGGUUUUUCUACACUGAAAUUCGAGACCAUGCUGGCACAAGAAAAGGUACCAGAUAGGAAAAAUAUCCAGCCUCUUGUUAUUUUCAGUCCUAAAGAACAGCUACAGUUAACAAAAUACAUGUGGCCCAAUAAAGUGUGCAUUGAUUUAUAAUUAAAAUA